rnacentral:tRNA from 1 species
GGAGGGAUGGCCGAGCGGCUUAAGGCGGCGGUCUUGAAAACCGCUGAAGCGCGAGCUUCCGUAGGUUCAAAUCCUACUCCCUCCGCCA